rnacentral:lncRNA from 1 species
GGCAAAUUCAGUCUCUUUCACAGAACCUAAAGCCAAGCCAGGUUCAACGGGAAAUCCCACCUGUCCAAACACUGUGUGAGACACCAGAAGUAGAGGCCUGCAAGCCUGCUUCCGCCAUCUCCGAUGCUCAGAUGGGACAGGUCACCAGCGUCCUGUGUCUACCCCCACGUUUCUUGCUUGCUGGCCUCCUCUCUCUGCAGUGCCUCUCUCAUCCCUGCAAUCCAGACAGCACAUGCAGGAGCUCAAAUAAGUGCCACCUCUGGGUAAGGUGCUCCCUCUCCUGGUAG